GGGCUUGCAUCCGCAGCACACAUACUAACACUGGAUACAGAGAAGAUUAAUGUGGACCCUGGGCAAAGAUGACAUGCACAUCUGUGAACCGUUCCAUAUUUAA